UACGGAGGGUGCUAGCGCUGUUCGGAAUUACUGGGCGUAAAGGGCGCGUAGGCGGCCGUUUGCGUCGGAGGGGAAAGCCCGGGGCUCAACCUCGGAACGGCAUUCGAUACGGGACGGCUGGAGACCGGGAGAGGAGAGUGGAAUAGCCAGUGUAGAGGUGAAAUUCGUAGAUAUUGGCUGGAACACCGGUGGCGAAAGCGGCUCUCUGGCCCGGUUCUGACGCUGAGGCGCGAAAGCGUGGGGAGCAAACAGG
rnacentral:rRNA from 1 species